UGCCUAAUACAUGCAAGUCGAGCGAACAGACGAGGAGCUUGCUUCUCUGACGUUAGCGGCGGACGGGUGAGUAACACGUGGAUAACCUACCUAUAAGACUGGGAUAACUUCGGGAAACCGGAGCUAAUACCGGAUAAUAUAUUGAACCGCAUGGUUCAAUAGUGAAAGACGGUUUUGCUGUCACUUAUAGAUGGAUCCGCGCCGCAUUAGCUAGUUGGUAAGGUAACGGCUUACCAAGGCAACGAUGCGUAGCCGACCUGAGAGGGUGAUCGGCCACACUGGAACUGAGACACGGUCCAGACUCCUACGGGAGGCAGCAGUAGGGAAUCUUCCGCAAUGGGCGAAAGCCUGACGGAGCAACGCCGCCGUGAGUGAUGAAGGUCUUCGGAUCGUAAAACUCUGUUAUUAGGGAAGAACAAAUGCGUAAGUAACUAUGCACGUCUUGACGGUACCUAAUCAGAAAGCCACGGCUAACUACGUGCCAGCAGCCGCGGUAAUACGUAGGUGGCAAGCGUUAUCCGGAAUUAUUGGGCGUAAAGCGCGCGUAGGCGGUUUUUUAAGUCUGAUGUGAAAGCCCACGGCUCAACCGUGGAGGGUCAUUGGAAACUGGAAAACUUGAGUGCAGAAGAGGAAAGUGGAAUUCCAUGUGUAGCGGUGAAAUGCGCAGAGAUAUGGAGGUACACCAGUGGCGAAGGCGACUUUCUGGUCUGUAACUGACGCUGAUGUGCGAA
rnacentral:rRNA from 1 species